CAGCCGCCGCGGUAAUACGUAGGGUGCGAGCGUUAAUCGGAAUUACUGGGCGUAAAGCGUGCGCAGGCGGUUCGUUAAGACAGAUGUGAAAUCCCCGGGCUUAACCUGGGAACUGCAUUUGUGACUGGCGAGCUAGAGUAUGGCAGAGGGGGGUAGAAUUCCACGUGUAGCAGUGAAAUGCGUAGAGAUGUGGAGGAAUACCGAUGGCGAAGGCAGCCCCCUGGGCCAAUACUGACGCUCAUGCACGAAAGCGCGGGGAGCAAACAGGAUUAGAUACCCCUGUAGUCCCUGUCUCUUAUAC
rnacentral:rRNA from 1 species